GUCCGGUGCCCCUAUUAUGACGAGCUACAUGCCAUUCUUCGUGGGGAUGCCUCAGUAGCACCGAAAAGACUGGCAACCAAUUUGUCCAUCGUGCGGGAGGUUCCACGUACCAACGCUACUGUCGCUUCCUACUCGGCGUCUCCUUCCAGCCCCGAACUGUUCAAUAGCUCAUUCGCAACCAUAGAUCUGGAUACCUACCUGACCAAAGACUCUGGUGCUGCGGCUACUGAAGCAGGGCUUUCACGUGUACACGAGGACGAGGAUACUUGUGUGUCGGAACUCCAGGGAAUCCUUGAUGAAGACGAUACCGCCAGCGGCCAGUCAGAGAGCAGACGAGAACACAUUCCCCGGACCUCAUCCUCCAUUCCGGAAGCCAGAGAGGACA
rnacentral:lncRNA from 1 species